rnacentral:sRNA from 1 species
UUCUAUUGCGUCGAGCAGCGAUCAUAC